GUGGGGAAUAUUGGACAAUGGGCGAAAGCCUGAUCCAGCCAUGCCGCGUGUGUGAAGAAGGUCUUCGGAUUGUAAAGCACUUUAAGUUGGGAGGAAGGGCAGUAAGUUAAUACCUUGCUGUUUUGACGUUACCGACAGAAUAAGCACCGGCUAACUUCGUGCCAGCAGCCGCGGUAAUACGAAGGGUGCAAGCGUUAAUCGGAAUUACUGGGCGUAAAGCGGGCGUAGGUGGUUUUGUAAGUUGGAGGUUAAAUCCCCGGGCUCAAACUGGGAACUGCCUCCAAAACUGCAUGACUAGAGGACGGUAGAGGGUAGUGGAAUUUCCUGUGUAGCGGUGAAAUGCGUAGAUAUAGGAAGGAACACCAGUGGCGAAGGCGACUACCUGGACUGAUACUGACACUGAGGUGCGAAAGCGUGGGGAGCAAACAGGAUUAGAAACCCCUGUAGUCC
rnacentral:rRNA from 1 species